AACGAACGCUGGCGGCAGGCCUAACACAUGCAAGUCGAACGCCCCGCAAGGGGAGUGGCAGACGGGUGAGUAACGCGUGGGAACGUACCCUUCGGUUCGGAAUAACCCGGGGAAACUCGGGCUAAUACCGGAUACGUCCGCAAGGAGAAAGAUUUAUCGCCGAAGGAUCGGCCCGCGUCGGAUUAGCUAGUUGGUGGGGUAAUGGCCCACCAAGGCGACGAUCCGUAGCUGGUCUGAGAGGAUGAUCAGCCACACUGGGACUGAGACACGGCCCAGACUCCUACGGGAGGCAGCAGUGGGGAAUAUUGGACAAUGGGCGAAAGCCUGAUCCAGCCAUGCCGCGUGAGUGAAGAAGGCCUUAGGGUUGUAAAGCUCUUUCAGCGGGAAGAUAAUGACGGUACCCGCAGAAGAAGCCCGGCUAACUUCGUGCCAGCCGCCGCAGUAAG
rnacentral:rRNA from 1 species